rnacentral:tRNA from 1 species
UUUGAGAUGGUUGAGUUGGUCUAAGGCACCAGGUUAAGGUUCUCGUCCGAAAGGGCGUGGGUUCAAAUUCCACUCUAAAAA